CCUUCCGGCACUUCCCUUAGUACCAGUAUGGCGGCCUCGUGGUGGUGGCGGUUACUGAGCCGUUCGGGCCGCCAAGAGUUCUCAACGGGAAACCGGAUCCAUUCGGGCGUAUUUAGGUCGUUCGCGGAGCAGAGCCUCAGACACAGCUCAGAGAAUGUGACCCUGCAGGAAAAAUCCCCAAGCUUGGAAGUUGCUGAAGAAAGUAUUCGUCCAAGGAAAAAAACUUGGGAUAAAUUAGCUGUUCUUCAGGCACUUGCAUCAACUGUAAACAGGGAUACCACAGCUGCUCACUUCAUGUUUCAAGAUGACCCAUAUCUUAUUCCUAGAACCAGCACUGACUUUCGUAUAUUUUCAUUAUCAAAAGAAUCUGGGAAAAAUGCAGCAAAGUACAUUGUUGAAACACAUCCUAACUUUUUUGAGAAGGAUAUCGCUGAACCUCACAUUCCGUGUCUCAUGCCAGAGGGGUUCAACAUAGUUCAGAAUGAAGACAUGAAUGAGAGCACACUUAAAAAUCAGAUCCAGCUCAGAAAAGUAAAAGCUUCUGUGGAAAUGUAUGAUCAACUUUUGCAAGCAGGAGCAUGUAUCUCUUUGGAGACAUCAAACAGUCUUCUGGAUCUCUUAUGUUUUUAUGGUGACAGAGAACCUGGUCAAAAGAGCUCUCGUGAAGAUGAGAAUGAGUUAGAAGAACUGGAAGAUGUUCCAGAAAAAAAAAGGCACAGAGGCAACUUCAGGAAUACUUUUGAUGACCUUGGCAUUAAGUGGAGGAAAAACAAUAAUGCAGAGAGAAUAUUUAACCUGAUGCCAGAAAAAAAUGCACAUUCCUAUUGCACAAUGAUCAGAGGAAUGGUGAAGCAUAGAGCAUACACAAAUGCUUUUGACAUGUAUACUGAGUUACAGAAUAACAGGCUUAAUGCUGAUGUGCACACUUUCAAUGCACUAAUUUCAGCAGCUGCACAAGUGAAGGAGAAAUACUCUGACAGAGUGGAACUUGUUGAUAACUUGCUGAGGCAGAUGGCUCAUCAGAAUGUACAGCCAAACCUGCUAACCUUUAAUUCUUUGCUGAAGACACUGAGGUUGUGUGGCCCUUUAGGCAAGUCUAUUGGCCUGCGAGUCCUGAAGGAGAUGAAUGCACUAAAUAUAGAACCUAGCCUUGCAACAUUUGACCAUCUUCUUGGCAUAUUUCAUAAUUCUGCUACAGCAACUCAAAGACCAGUGGAAAUAAUCUAUGAUAUUAUAGAUGAAAUUGAAGGAAAAAGUUUUUACCCUCGGGACCCAGAUGAUGGCAACUUUUUUUCAAAAGCAAUGAAAGUAUGCCUGGACUUAAAGGAUAUUCAACUUGCCUAUAAACUACAUAGAGUGGUCAAGACUGGAGAGAACAGGAAAAUGAUGGGAACCACUGCACAGCAGGCUUCUUACUGGGGAAGGUUUUUUAAGUUGUUGUGUCUGAUGGAGCAACUUGAUGUUGUGUUGAAAUGGUAUAAACAAAUUGUUCCUUCAAUGUUUUACCCAAACUCUAACGGGAUGUUGCAUCUUCUUCAAGCAUUGGACACAGCCAGUCACUUGGAAAUUAUUCCUCAGAUCUGGAAAGAUAUCAAGCAGCUCGGGCAUGGCUGUAGGCCCCAUGUUGUGGAGGAAGUUCUGGCUCUCAUGGCCAGAGAUACUCAUUCUGCAGAGAUUCAGUUGGCAUUUGCUGACUGUGCUGCAGAUAUAGUGCCUCUCUAUGAGAUACAAGAAAGGAGACCCACUUACCUACAGUGGACAGCUACUUCCUUGAGUAACUCUACAGUUCUAUUUGCCAGGGCUGGGAGAACAGCAGAAGCCUGGAAUAUGUUGGAGCUUUUCAGGAAACACAACCGAAUUCCCAGUGAUGAAGUGAUGAAUGAGGUCUUGAACUGCAUUAAACAAAACAACCAACCAGAGCAGGCCCUUGACCUGGUAAAGAUGACUGCUGAUUUCAGUUUACCAUGCAUUGCAAAGCUUAUCCAGAGAGUUCAAAAAGAAUUUCAGCUCUCUGAAGAGCAAAGGAGUGCUCUGGCUGAUAUGUCAGCAGAAGUUGGUGACAGCAGUGAUGAGGAAUAGAAGCCGGAAAAAGCCUCUUCUUUUUCCCAAAGAAAGGGACAACUCUUACAUGUCUGCUGCCACAUAUACAAAAACAACACCCGAGUGCAGUGGAAGCUGUUCUUACAGUGCAGAUCUGAGAGUGGUAACACUGAAACUGGUGAAGAGUACUUAUCCAUCCACUGAAGUAACAGCUGGCCAGUAAACUUGGGAAAUACGGCAUAGAGGUUUGGUGAUGCUGAGAUGAGCAGAGACUGAGAGAACUGGGCAUGUUCAGCCUUGCGAAGAGAAGACUGAGGGGGGACGUGAUAUCCCUCUAUAAGCGCCUCAAAGGCUGUCACAAAGAGGAAGGUCAAGAUCUCUGAU